ensembl:snoRNA
AUCUUUUUGUAGUUCAUAGGAAUGAUGAUUGGGUGUUCACAUGACUGUGUGAAAUGUACCUCUCUCAAAUCUUGUUACUAUAUUGACAUAUUACCCUUCUGACA